ensembl:lncRNA novel transcript
AGUUUCUCUGUGUUUUCAUGGCAAAUUGCAGAUUGACCUCAAAUUUAGGCUCAUAGGAGCUACUUAAACGAAUGAAUGGAUGAACUCAGAGAGUCUUGGUCUGUUCCCCGGGCUGGAAUGCAGUGGUGCAAUCUUGGCUCACUGCAGCCUCAACCUCCUGGACUCAAGCAAUCCUCCCACCUUGGCCUACAGAGUACCUGGGACUACAGCAUGCCACUCUGGGGGAGCUGGAAAGGAGACAACUUUCAGGGGACAUCAAAUUUGACAACUAUCUACACCAUAAAGCAUCUUCAUAAGAACCAAAAAUCAGAUGUUUUUUGCACAAGGUAGAAGAUGGGUGCAUCUGGUUUUCAGCUUCCUUGCGAAGGGUUUGAACAUCCUCCUUUAGCUCGGAGAAGUUUGUCAUUAUCGACCUUCUGAAGCCUACUUCUGUCAACUCGUCAAAGUCAUUGUCCGUCCAACUUUGUUUCGUUGCUGGUGAGGAGCUGCGAUCCUUUGGAGGAGAAGAGGUGCUCUUGUUGUUAGAAUUUUCAGCUUUUCUGCUCUGGUUUCUCCCCAUCUUUGUGGUUUUAUCUACCUUUGGUCUUUGAUGUUGGUGACCUACAGAUGGGGUUUUGGUAUGGAUGUCCUUUUUGUUGAUAUUGAUGCUAUCCCUUUCUGUUUGUUAGUUUUCCUUCUAACAGUCAGGUCCCUCAGCUGCAGGUCUGUUGGAGUUUGCUGGAAGUCCACUCCAGAUCCUGUUUGCCUGGGUAUCACCAGCAGAGGCUGCAGAACAGCAAAUAUUGCAUAACAGCAAAUAUUGUUGCCUGAUCCUUCCUCUGGAAGCUUCAUCCCAGAGGGGCACCUGUCUGUAUGAGGGGUCAGUCGGCCCAUACUGGGAGGUGUCUCCCAGUCAGGCUACAUGGGGGUCAGGGACCCACUUGAGGAGGCAGUCUGUCUGUUCUCAGAGCUCAAAUGCCACACUGGGAGAACCACUGCUCUCUUCAGAGCUGUCAGACAGGGACAUUUAAGACUGCAGAAGUUUUUGUUGCCUUUUGUUCAGCUAUGCUCUGCCCCCAAAGGUGGAGUCAGCAGAGGCAACAGGCCUUGCUGAGCUGUGGUGGGCGCC